UUUUAACGGCCUGCGGUAUUUUGACCGUGCUAAGGUAGCAUAAUCAAUUGUUUUUUAAUUGAAAACUAGUAUGAACGGUUUAAUUUACUUAAUUAGUUUGUAAUUUUUAAUAGUAAGUUAAAUAUAAAGUAAGAAUUCUUUAAUAAAUUAGGGGACGAUAAGACCCUAAAAGCUUUAUGAUUGGCAUUUAAUUAGUGAUAGCGGUGUUAUUAAUUCACUGGGGCAGUGAGUUUAGGUAUAUUUAAGUAUAAUUAAAAGCUCCUUUAAAUAAAGAUUUCAUGUAUAAGUUACUUUAGGGAUAACAGUGCAAUAUAUUUGGGGAGACCAUAUCUAUAAAUAUGAUUGCAACCUCGAUGUUGAAUUAAAAU
rnacentral:rRNA from 1 species